AUACGUAGGGAGCGAGCGUUGUCCGGAAUUACUGGGCGUAAAGGGCGCGUAGGCGGCGCUUCAAGUCGUCUGUCAAAUGGAAGGGCUUAACCCUUUUUCGCAGACGAAACUGGAGAGCUUGAGAAGCAGAGAGGCAGACAGAAUUCCUGGUGUAGCGGUGAAAUGCGUAGAUAUCAGGAAGAAUACCAGUGGCGAAGGCGGUUUGCUGGCUGCAUACUGACGCUGAAGCGCGAAAGCCAGGGGAGCGAACGGGAUUAGAUACCCCGGUAGUCCUGGCAGUAAACGAUGUAUGCUGGGUGUGAGACUAGCGAUAGUUUCGUGCCGAAGUUAACGCGAUAAGCAUACCGCCUGGGGAGUACGGUCGCAAGAUUGAAACUCAAAUGAAUUGACGGGG
rnacentral:rRNA from 1 species